CCUACGGGUGACAGCAGUGGGGAAUAUUGCACAAUGGGGGAACCCCUGAUCCAGCGAAGCCGCGUGAAGGAAGAAGUAUUUCGGUAUGAAAACUUCUAUCAGCCGGGAAGAAAAUGACGGUACCUGACUAAGAAGCCCCGGCUAACUACGUGCCAGCAGCCGCGGUAUUACGUAGGGGGCAAGCGUUAUCCGGAUUUACUGGGUGUAAAGGGAGCGUAGGCGGUUUAGCAGGUCAGAAGUGAAAGCCCGGGGCUCAACUCCGGGACUGCUUUUGAAACUGUCGAACUGGAUUGCAGGAGAGGUAAGUGGAAUGCCUAGUGUAGCGGUGAAAUGCGUAGAUAUUAGGAGGAACACCAGUGGCGAAGGCGGCUUACUGGACUGUAAAUGACGCUGAGGCUCGAAAGCGUGGGUAGCAAACAGGAUUAGAUACCCCUGUAGUC
rnacentral:rRNA from 1 species